CGCUUGUCAUACGUCAAAUCACCUGAAUUAAAAAAGCUACAGUGGUGACAGUGUGCAUGACUUUGUUUGCGAUGGAAUUUCCGUUUUCUAUGAACUCGCUCUAAUUUUUGUUAAUCUACGUGUUCGUUUCCUAACUAUAAACAAUCCAAUUAUCUGUAAAUGAAUUCCGAUCCGGGCUUGUGACCGUGUCGUACCUCGAUUUGUCGUGAACAACCGGACGUGAGCCUGCCCAGCGACGAAGUCUGCUUUUCGCUACAAAUGCCAUCAACAUUCAGAAAAAAACGAUGCCCGUAAGAAAAUAUCGACGCGAAACGAGUGAAAUCAGCUGCUGUCUGAAGUAUGUGAUCUUCAGUUUCAAUGUCUUCUUUUGGCUGCUCGGCCUUUGCAUUCUGGCUGUGGGCUUGUGGGCCUGGACCGAAAAGGACAUCUUCAAUAAUAUCUCCAAAGUGACCUACAUUGCACUCGAUCCAGCGUUCGUUCUGAUCUGCAUUGGCGCCGUCACUUUCAUCAUUGGCUUCACGGGAUGCGUGGGUGCAUUGCGGGAGAACACUUGUCUGCUGGCGGCGUAUGCCAUAUUUUUGUCACUUCUUCUAUUAAUAGAAUUAAGUCUAGGAACCUUAGCCUUUGUACUGAAAGAUAAGGGAUGGAUAAAAGAUCGAGCCACCGAAGGGCUUAGAACUUUUAUUACACAUUAUCGUGAAGAUCCCGAUCAACAAAAUCUAAUUGAUUGGAUACAAGAAGACUGGCUCCAAUGUUGCGGCAUUGAAGGUCCAAAAGAUUGGGACAAUAAUAAUUAUUUCAAUUGCUCAUCAAGCGCGGUGGGUAGUCGUGAAGCUUGCGGUGUGCCAUUUUCAUGUUGUAAACAAAAGCCAAAUGAAUUUAUAAAAAAUAAGCAAUGCGGCUAUGAUGUACGAAAGGAGAAUUAUCAAUCGACUGAACGUCAUAUUUAUGAACGGGGAUGUUUACGGGCCGGUGAAGAUUGGUUAGAAGGUCAUUUAGUUCCUGUGGCUGCAGCCUGUGUUAGUGUUAUGAUACUUCAGCUUGACGAAAUCAGUUAUAAAUUUCGUUUAAAAAAAUACAAAUAGUUCUCCCCAUCAGAUGCACUGCUCGGUCCUUAUUGAAUAAUCAUGGAUGUGAGGCACUAACUCUGGAUGAGAAAAUGCAUAAGUCACAACUAACACUUGCAUGGAGCACAGUUUUGAUGUUUCGAAAAUAAUUUACGAAAAAGGUUGCGUCCAAGCCGGCGAAGAGUGGAUGGAACGUAAUCUUAUCAUAAUUGCUUCGUCGGCAAUAUUUUUAAUUUUUAUGCAG
rnacentral:misc_RNA from 1 species